rnacentral:RNase_P_RNA from 1 species
CGAGUCGUCCGGGUGAUCGCGGCAGCGAAGGCGGGUUGAAAAAUCUGGCCUCUGUUGUCGAGGAAAGUCCGGGCUCCACAUGGCAGGGUGGUGGGUAACACCCACCCGGGGCAACCCGCGGGACAGUGCCACAGAAAACAAACCGCCUUUCAUCAUGGUGUUCAUCACCAUGGCGGAGGGUAAGGGUGAAACGGUGGUGUAAGAGACCACCAGCGCCAUGGGUGACCAUGGCGGCUAGGUAAACCCCACCCGGAGCAAGGUCAAAAGGAUCGCAAUGUGAUCUGCGCGAACGAGCCGCCUGCUCAAUGUUCGCGGGUAGACCGCACCAGGUUGCUGGUAACAGUAAUCGCAGAUGGAUGAUCACCCCCCGCUUCGGCGGGGACAGAACCCGGCUUACAGGGCGACUCGUCCG